AUGGCCCACGUAGCCCCCGCCGCCUCCCCCGCCGCCGCCCCUCCCCCUCCCCCUCCUAGCCCGGCCGGGGAUGAAGGCCCUGACCCGGAUCCCGACCCGCGCUCCUCUCCGGCGGUCGUUCUUUUCGCCCCUGCUGCUCCGGCCCCGGCGCCGGCCGCUCAGGCCCCUGCUNNCUCGGACCUGGCCGCUCCGGCCCCUGCGGCUCCGACCCCGGCGCCCGCCGCUCUGGCCCCGGCCGCCCCGGCUUGGGUGGAGGUUGGGAGACGGCGCCGCCCGAGCCUGGAGAAGGUGGCUACUCCUCCUCCCAGGAAGGAUGCUGGACUGCCUCGCACUUUCAAGUAG
rnacentral:rRNA from 1 species